rnacentral:lncRNA from 1 species
CACAUUUUAUUGAUGAACACCAAGCAAAGUUCACAUUGUCAAAGAGUUUUAAGUUUUAAUAGAUGCAAAAUGUUAUUCUCAAGGAGCUUGCAGAAAUAAAAGUUCUUUUAAAAGAAGUUAUAGAAAUUAAGUUUCAGGCUACUGGGGUGAAGUUGCUAGAAUCGGUGGACGAAGUGGUUUCACUGGAUAAUAAACUAAAAGAUAAAACCGAGUAUACUAAUUUGAUAGUUUUAAAAAAGAUUGGUGGUGGAAAGCCAAGAGAACAUGUUUUUUGAUUAUGUUUUUAUUAAUUAUUAGAAAUAUGAUUAAAAGGGACCAAAAGCAAUUCUUUUUGACUGUUAUUUGUUAUGGAUUUACUUUUAACAUGACAAUUUGAUAAACUCUGGAGCUUCGCUGUAGGUGUUUAAGUUUGUUUGUGUGCUAAAGUUAUUUUCGAAUCAGUUACAGUCCAAAUUAAAUCGAAAAAGAAAUAAAGAAAAGAUAAGCUUAGAAAAUCUAGUAAAUAUAUGGAGUGUUUUACGAGAUAUCGGAAGAAAAUGUUGACGGCAAUGCAGAAAUAUAGUUUCUUAUGUAUAUUUUUGUGAAAUAAAAAUUAAGUAAUGUUAGUUAAAA